AUCUCAUCUGAAGCUUAUUGUAACUGAAGCCUGCAGCCUGUUCCCUCCAAGGCAGAUUAAGACCAGCAAGUUACCAGAAGAGUAAGCUGAAGCAUGAACAUUAUCCAUCUGCUCGCCCGUACCUGCCUGCUUACGUGCACUUGCCACGCAGUGGAAGAGGGUGACAACAUCACCAAUUUGGAAAUAACAAAAUCAUCUGAAAACAUGAAUCCACUGAAGAAUACCCCAUGCUAUCCAGACCAAGAACUUGAGGGGUGCAGUUUGGUGAACUUAAAGAAAACGAUUCCUUGGUACAAUCUCAGCAGAAAUGUCUUCCGGAAAGAUUUCAGGUAGACAAACUCCUUUUAAUUUUUCCAUCCCGCAUAGAAGCUGGAAUGAAAAAUACUUUUAUAGUU